rnacentral:lncRNA from 1 species
CCAUCUUUUUGACCCCUCUAAAUAAAUGAAAUAUACCGGACUUAGCGGUUGACAAGAAUAAAAAAAAAAGGAAAAUAACUUUCAACUUUUUCAUGAUUGACGUUUACUUCAUUAAAGUAAUAGUGAUCAUCCCCCCACCCCUAACAAAAAUUAAAUAAAACAACAACAAUAUUAAAAAAACAAUUUGAAACGUUCAUAAAACAUGAUAACAUCGAGUCCGUCGAUUCGGAUGCAAUCGACCAACGUUGAAAGACAUUUGUUUUUUAUGUUUGUUCUUAUGAUAACUUAUCGUUCUUAUAACAAAAUGUAUUAUAAAAUUGAAAACUAAUCAAAAUAUGAAAUAACUUUUUAG